rnacentral:lncRNA from 1 species
UUUAUGUGGGGUAAAUAUCUAUAGGUGAGUUUUGGGAUAGAUAUGAAAAUUAAAUUAUAAAACAGGGAUAUUUUUGACAUUAGCAAGUAAUUGACUUAAUUCAGAUUUCUCCAUUAAGUAAAAAGCCAAAAAAAUUAGCUUAUUUUAUUAAGUCAAAAUUAUCUAAAAAGUCUCAUUAAGUUAUAAAAACAAACACCUCUAAUUAACUUAAUUAAUUAAGUUAAGUCACUUUAAAUCAUUAAGUUAAAAAACAAACGCCACCUUAGUUUCUCUGGAUGCAACUGUAGGUGCAUCAUGAAAGUUGACACCUAAAAUCAUUAGGCAACUUUUUCUCGCUCCUAAUGGAGGAAAAAAUUAUCUUAUCAUAUAAUAAAAAAUUCUGGAAAAUCUUAUUAUAUAAUAUAUUACUAUAUGUCAAACUUAAUACAAAAUAGAUAUAAAUAUAAAAACUUAUAGAAAUUCAUAACUAGUUUUAAUUGGCAUCAAUGUCUCUACCAUGGUCAAUGAAUAAACCUAAAACAUCCGGAUGUGUGCUCUCACCAGGAUCAACAUAAUUUGUCUCAACGGUCUUCCCUUUUCUUUUUAGGGAUGCUUGAUACCAGUCAACAAAAUGUCUGGUGGAUGAUAAGAUCUCCAAAAAUGGCCUUCUGUCCCACACCUGUCACAUAUCUCUUUCUGUUCUUUUACUUGGGCUUGUCCUUCAUCAUCAUUCUUUCACUUUUGAUAAGUUCUAUUGUAACCAUCACGAGGUUGAUAAUAAUUGUGACUAUAACUAUGAUCACAAUAAAAAAAAAAAAAACUCAUUUUGGAUUAUCACUAAGACUGUGUAAAAUUGGAUUCACUUCAGGUAGUAGCUUCGUAUCAAUUCAAACAAUGGCUUCGUAAGAGCAUAAUCUGUUAUUGAGGUCCAUGGCUUCUAGAUGAAUUACUGAGGCACAUAGCUUUUAGUUGAAUUACUGACACAUGGCUUCUAGCUGAAUUACCAAGGCAGAAUCCAAGAUAAAUUAUUUUUAUCAAAAAUAUUGAGGGCUUUCAAUUCAGGCUUCAUUGGAUUUGCCAUCUUCAAUUAUUCUUUAAAGGCUUCAAAAUCUCAAUAUAUGGCUUCAGUACGUGCAAGAAUGUUCAAAUUUAUGGCUUCAUAUGAACGAGUUUUAAUAUUAAAGCUUUAAGGCUUCAAUCUGAAUAUUGUACGCUUCAAUUUUGAUUCUGCACGCUUCAGUCUUGAUUUACGCUUUAGUCUCGUAUGCUUUGGUCUUUAAUUUUAAUAUCAGUAACAGAAAAUAAACAAAAAUACUAAUUAGCAAAUGAAAUAAUAAAAUGAGAAAAUAUAAUACUUCCUGUAAUAUAACGAUCUAGUGUUGAUAACGUGUUGUAAUAUUGUUGGGUACAAGGAGCAUUGAAGGAAGAACAAUUAACUAAAGCGGAAGAGAACAAAGUGAAAUUUGCCAAGUAGCACCAUGCAAUCUCACGAAUUUAUUUUUCAAAUCGAAAUCAUGAGAACGGGUUACAAAUGGGCUAUUUAUAGCCGGAUCAAGCGGUGUGCACUUGAGUCCAUAGAUGUAUGUGAUUACAAGAUCAAGCGGUGUGUGCAAGCAAAGUGAGGCGUAUCUGAUUGGCGUUUGUGCGCAUACAAAUCAAUCCCAUGCGAUAUGCAUGCGGUGGAAAUCCACAUAGCUUUCACAACAAGAGCAAUAUUUGCUUAAAUUUUGGAAGUCAUUGGUCAAGAGUCCUGCUAAGUGUUCGUAAUAAAUCAUGGUUGGCCUAAUGACAGGAUAUAGAAAAAUGAUUUAUUGGGGGUUAAAUUAAAUAAUAACAA